rnacentral:rRNA from 1 species
GAUGAACGCUGGCGGCGUGCUUAAUACAUGCAAGUCGAGCGAAAGGACGCUGCGCUUGUUGCGCUCUUGUUAGCGGCGGAGGUGUGUGACACGCGAGGAUAACCCCCCUGUAAUUCGGGGAUCACUAGGGGAAAGCGUAGCUAAUCCGGUAUAAUAUUUUGAACCGUGUGGGUCAAAAGUGAGAGACGGUCUUGCUGUCACUUCUCGAUGGAUCUGGGCUGCAUGAGCUAGUUGGUAAGGUAACAGGUUACCAAGGCAAGGAGGCGUAUCCGAGCUGAGAGGGUGAUCGGCCACACUGGAACUGAGACACGGUCCAGACUCCUACGGGAGGCAGCAGUAGGGAAUCUUCCGCAAUGGUCGAAAGCCUGACGGAGCAACGCCGCGUGAGUGAUGAAGGUCUUCGGAUCGUAAAACUCUGUUAUUAGGGAAGAACAUAUGUGUAAGUAACUGUGCACAUCUUGACGGUACCUAAUCAGAAAGCCACGGCUAACUACGUG